UAGUCAUAUGCUUGUCUCAAAGAUUAAGCCAUGCAUGUCUAAGUAUAAACAUCUUUAUACAGUGAAACUGCGUACAGCUCAUUAUAUCAGUUAUUAUUUAUUUGAUGGUACCUUACUACAUGGAUACCCGUAGUAACUCUAGAGCUAAUACAUGCGUCAAGUCCCGACUUUUUGGAAGGGAUGUAUUUAUUAGAUAAAAAACCAAUGCAGGCAACUGCUCUCUUGGUGAUUCAUAGUAACUUUUCGGAUCGCACGGCUUCACGUCGGCGACAGUUCAU
rnacentral:rRNA from 1 species